AUGCAGUCGAACGAGCGAGAGAGAGCUUGCUUUCUCGAGCGAGUGGCGAACGGGUGAGUAACGCGUGAGGAACCUGCCUCAAAGAGGGGGACAACAGUUGGAAACGACUGCUAAUACCGCAUAAGCCCACAGGUCGGCAUCGACCAGAGGGAAAAGGAGCAAUCCGCUUUGAGAUGGCCUCGCGUCCGAUUAGCUAGUUGGUGAGGUAAUGGCCCACCAAGGCGACGAUCGGUAGCCGGACUGAGAGGUUGAACGGCCACAUUGGGACUGAGACACGGCCCAGACUCCUACGGGAGGCAGCAGUGGGGAAUAUUGCACAAUGGGGGAAACCCUGAUGCAGCGACGCCGCGUGGAGGAAGAAGGUCUUCGGAUUGUAAACUCCUGUUGUUGAGGAAGAUAAUGACGGUACUCAACAAGGAAGUGACGGCUAACUACGUGCCAGCAGCCGCGGUAAAACGUAGGUCACAAGCGUUGUCCGGAAUUACUGGGUGUAAAGGGAGCGCAGGCGGGAAGACAAGUUGGAAGUGAAAUCUAUGGGCUCAACCCAUAAACUGCUUUCAAA
rnacentral:rRNA from 1 species